rnacentral:lncRNA from 1 species
GUUUAUAAACAAGUUUACAGUGUCAUUUACCCAAGCUCCUCUCUCUCCAUGAUCUACCUGUUGCUUCUGGUUCCCUGUGGCUUCCUUUGCAAUCCUCCAGACAGAAAACUAACGUUUCAUCUGCCCUGCUUUUCUUUACACUCGCCACAGCUACAAUCAUAUUUCAGGCUUGAAUUUGGUGAAAACAUUCCUCAUGUCUGGGAAAUGAGCAAGAUGGAAACAGAAAGUCAAGGAAAAUGAAGAAAAAAGGGAAUAUUUCCAAACAAAAGAACAAGAUAAAACUUCAGAAACAGAUCUUAAUGAAAUGGGGGAUAAGUGACUUACCUGAUAAAGUGUUCAAAAUAAUUGUCAUAAAGAUGCUCACUGAUGUCAAGAGAACAAUGAGGGAACAAAGUGAGAGUUUCAACAAAGAUAUAGAAAACAUAAUAAAGUACCAAACAAGAAUCUCAAAGCUGCAGACGAUAAUGACUGAACUGAAAAAUUCAAUAGAGGGAUUCAACAGCAGACUAGAUCAAGUAAAAGAAAAGAUCAGUGAAUUCAAAGACAGGGCAGUGGAAUUCAUCCAAUCGGAGGAGCAAAAAGCAAGAAAGAACGAAAAAGAGGGAAGAUAGCUUAACGGACUUAUGGAAUAGCAACAACUGUGGCCCAAUAUAUGCAUCAUAGGGGUCUCAGAAGGAGAAAACAGAGAGAAAGGGGCAGAAAGUUUAUUCAAAAAAAUAAUGGCAGAAAAUUUCCCUAAAACCUGGAGAAAGAAACAAACAUCCAUAUCCAGAAAGCCCAGAGGUUUCAAAUAAGAAGAAUCCAAAGAGAUCUACACCAAGACAUAGUACAACCAAACUGUCAAAAGUUAAAGACAAGGAAAGAAUCUUAAAAACAGCAAGAGAAAACCACUUGUUAUGUACAAGGGAACCUCCAGAAGACUAUCAGCAGAUUUUUCAGCAGAAACUUUGCAGGCCAGAAGGGAGAAGCAUAACAUACUCAAAGUGUUGAAAGAAAGAAAAAAAAUCCCAACCAAGAAUAUGCUACCUGGCAAGGUUGUCCUUCAAAACUGAAGGAGAGAGAAGGAAUUUUCCAAACAAGCAAAAGUUAAAGGAGUUUAUCACCACCAGACUGGCCUUACAAGAAAUGAUACAGGGAGUUCUUCCAGCUGAAAAGAAAAGACAUUAAUUAGAAACAGGAAGACAUAGAAAAGUAUAAAUCCCACUGGUAAAAGUAAAUAUAUAGUUAAAUUCAGAAUACUCUAAUGUUGUAAUGGUGGAUAAAUAACUUAUAAAUCUAGCAUGAAUUUUAAAAGACAAAAGUAUUAAAAAUAACUAUAAUUACAAUAUAAUGCUAAUGGAUACACAAAGUAAAAAAGAUGCAAAUUCUGACACCAAAAACAAAAUAUGGAGACAGAGAGUCAAAAUGUAGAUCUUUAGUAUGUGUUUAAAGUUAAAUUAUUAUCAGCUUAAAAUAGACUGUUACAAAUAUAAGAUGCUUUAUGUAAACCUCAAGAUAACCACAAACAAGAACCUAUAGUAGAUACACAAAAGAUAAAGUGAAAUGAAUCUAAGCAUAUGACUACAGAAAAUCAUCAAAUCAUAAAGGAAGAGAGCAAGAGAAGAAAGGAAUAAAGAAAUUACAAGGGCUAGCCUGGUGGUAUAGUGGUUAAGUUCACUUGCUCCACUUGGGUGGCCUAGGGUUCAUGGGUUCAGGUUCUGAGUGUGGACUUACACACUGCUCAUCAUGCCAUGCUGUGGUGGUGUCCCACAUAUAAAAUAGAGGAAGACCGACACAGAUGUUAGCUCAGGGCCUAUCUUCCUCGCCAAAAAAAAAAAGAGGAAGAAAAGAAAAGAAAUUACAAACUGGCAGAAAACAAUUAACAAAAUGGCAAUAGUAAGUCCAUAUCUAUCAAUAAUAACUUUAAACAUAAAUGUACUAUAUUCUUCAAUCAAAAGAUACAGAGUAACUGAGUGGAUAAAAAAAGAAGACCCAAUGAUACACUGCCUACAAGAGACUCCCUUUAGAUGUAAGGGCACACACAGACUGAAGGUGAAGGAAUGGAAAAAUAUAUUCCACGCAAAUGGAAACCAAAAGAAAGCAGGGGUAGCUAUACUUAUAUCAGACAAAAUAGACUUUAAUCCAAAAACUGUAAAGGAGAAAAAUAAGGUCAUUAUAUAACAACAAAGGGGUCAAUCCAACAAGGGGAUAUAACAUUUGUAAAUAUUUAUGCAUCCAACAUAGGAGCAUUUAAAUAUUUAAGAAAAUAUUAACUGACCAGAAGGGAGAAAAAGACAGCAAUACAAUAAUAUUAGGGAACUUCAAUGCCCCACUUUCAAUAAUGGAUGGGUCAUCCAGCUGUGAGAAGGAAGUAAAUCCUGCCAUUUGUGACAAAAUGGAUGGAUGCUGAGGGCAUUAUGCCAAGGGAAAUAAGCCAGACAAAGACAAGUGCUGCAUAGUAUCACUUAUAUGUGGAAUCUUAAAAAAAAAAAGUCAAAACUUAUAGAAACAGAGAGCAGAAAAGUGGUUUCCAGGGACAAAAGGGGUUGAGGAAAUAGGGAGAGGUUGGUAAAAAGUUACAAACUUUCAGCUAUGAGAUGAAUUUGGUCUGAGGAUCUAAUAUAAAGCAUGGUGAUUAUUCUUGAUAACACUGUAUUAUAUAGUUGAAAUUUGCUAAGAGAGUAAAACUUAAAUGUUCUCACAAAAAAAAUAAAAUAAACAUAUGAGGGGAUAGAUGUGUUAACUAUCUAGAUGAGGAGAAUCUUUUCACAACGUAUACAUAUAUCAUCACAAUACAUAUUUUAAAAAUCUUAUAAUUUUUAUUGUGUUUGUUGAGGAACACUGGCCCUGAGCUAACCUCUGUUGUCAAUCUUUCUUUCCUUUGCUUGAUGGAGAUUGUUGUCGAGCUAACAUCUGUGCCAAUCUUCCUCCAUUCCAUAUGUGAGAUGUCACCACAGCAUGGCUUGAUGAAUUGUGUGUAGGUCUACACCUGGGGUACCCACAAACCCUGGGCUACCGAAGCGGAGAGUGUGAACUUAACCACUAUGCCACUGGGCCAGCUCCAAUCUUAUAAUUUUAUAUAUAAAUUAUACUUCAAUAAAGCUGAAAUUUAAAAGAAAGAAAGAAAAUCAAAGAAUCUGCAGUGAUAAUGCUUUUUGGAAAUAUUAAGGAAGAGGUCCAAACACUAGCAUGAAGGAUUCAUUAGAUGUCGACAGUUGUAAAGGAAUUCUGUUAGUAUCCACAACAGGGUGUGUGUCAGUCUUUGUCCAUUUCCAGCAGCCAUUGAUGAGUGAAGGACUACAUAGUCUCUCAUGGGUGGCCAUGACUUUCCCCUCUAGAGCCGACCAGAGCUGAUCACCAUGAUCUGGGGAUAUAAUUGUGAUGUUUCUUGGGCUGUAGAGCAGUGAAAAUUACACCGUUGCUAACGAGCAGUCAGCAAAACACCAGAGAACCAAGAAACAUAUGUUUUCUCAGGCUCAAACCUCUGGAGAAUCUCCCUAGAUCCAUAAUGUGGUGAUCAUUCUGAAGACUCUAAUAUGCUGAAACCUCUGCCCAAAGUGGUUAGAGGCACAUAGUUUGCAUAUCUUGAUAACGUUUCUAGAAAUCUAAAGUUGUGAUAACUUUAUUUAGCUCGUUCCAAUGUUAAGAUCUUUUCCUGUCAUACCUCUUUGAUCUAAAAUAUUGCCGUACUGUCAGCUCAGCUCAUUUCCUUCUCUUUGUGUUACCCAGAGUCUAACACAUUUUUAUCUUCGUGUAUGAAAAGUUAAAUAAAUUAAAGUAAAUCUCUAUGCAUUGUGGCUGCCCCAAAAUGAAAAUCUCAUACGGACCUAAUCACCUCCAUUGAAACCUAACCUAUCUGGUGUCCCAUCCAUUCUCAAGACCUUUAUUUACUACAUAUAUUAAUUCCUGAAGAUUUGCGUAAAGCCUCUUCAAUCUGAGGUAGCACUUGCAUUUUGGUGGCUCAUUUUGCAGCCUCUACAUCUUAUUCCAAAGAACUAACUCUGGGAGUUUGAGGAGACACAUUUUAAAGAACCCCAAACACUAUCCUAUUACAUUCUUUUAUCAUGCCUGGAUAAACGUCUACUCUGGCCCACCUAUAAUAAAGAAAGUAGACUAUUUUUUCAACAAAGGUGACUUGACAGUAUUUCCAACCCUUUAUCUUCUGUUCUCUUUCAAGACACCCCUAAGUCACCUAUUCGCACACAUCUCUUCUUUUGGAAAGAAGAGUUAUGGUACAGGGCAAGACUGUACUGAUGCUAAGACUUUCAGACUACUAUUGAGUUUCUUUCCUCAGCGUUUGAUGUUUCACUGGCUGGCUGGCUCAGUAUUCACGAUGCUUUGUCAGUGUCUCAAGUUAUGUUUGGAAAAGAACUUGUCCAAAUUCUCCAUUUCUCCUCCACUCACUGCAAUUGGCGGUGGCAUGGCAAUUCUCUUCAAGGUAAACAUGAAGAAACCCGAAGGCGAUAAUACUCGCCUUUCAGUUGGAGUAAUUACCUGGCCUCUACCAACUGCAGACUUCUGCGUGUUGAUAGGACUCAUUCGACAGGUUCUUUUUUAAAAUAGGUAAUGAUCUUUAAAGGAUGAAACCCUACUUCAUAACAUGCAAUUUUGCUAACCACUCUGUUUAGAAAACCGGGUUCCCUCUGGUUUCCCAGCGCUGGUAGCUCCGCUUGACGCAUGAAGUUGGGGCUGCCUCGGUCAUGCCACUUUAGAUUACUGGAUCUCACAGGAUGCUACAAGGCAGACACACCCCAGGCUGACUCACUGAGUGGGAAGUUUAAAAAGAUGGUUUUCCUCAGCCAUCAAUUAGAUAAACCACAUUUUCCAGGAGAAAAACAGCAUCUUGAAAAGCUCUUUACAAACAAAGCUCUCUUGCUCAGAAUGCUUUCGGUCAUGUUUUCUUGUGAAGGGAAGUAUGACUUUAACCUUAAUUGCACUGACAAAUUAGCAAGUAAAGUAUAAUGCCACCCUUUCCCCUCUUCCUUCCUUCCUUCUUCUUUUUUUUUUUUUUCCUCAGAAGGAGACACUUUCAUGAUUUUAGCUUUGGUAAAAUUAGAGCAUUCUUCCUCUUGGCCACUUCCCUCAAAUUUGUGGUUUUGACCAACCACUUGGUGAGCAAGUUAUAGACGCAGGCCUGAAUUCUCUUUCCUCUGCCCCACUUACACUUCUUUGUACAGUUUUCCCUACCUUUUUUGCGACCUUCUUGAAAAUACACUGAGGAAAGGACAUUUGUAGAUUGUACCAUUUUGAAAAUGGCGAUUUGGAUUGAAGAUGUAUGUCAGGAAGAAUUAAGCACUGAAAAGCGAUUUGAACCUCCUCGCCUCAUCUUUUUCCAGCGCUGGCUGCACGCGGAAAGUACUGGAUAAAUGUCUCCCACUGAACUGUAAGAUUCCCAAGGACAAAGGACGUGUUAGUGGUUUCCAUCGCCUGUAUACAGUGUACCUAACACACAUUGAGUAAUAUUUUCAAAAGCAGGCCAUCCUCAUCAUGUAAAAGAAUAAAUAAGAGAAAAACCAUGCAAUUGAAUAUUUUGCACAGAACCUUAUUUCCUUACUCACCUGAAACUUGAGACCAAGGCGACACAGAUAUUCUGGGCCUGAGGACCCCUUGCACAUAAUUUUGAUAGAGACAUCUCUUGGAUCUGAGACCAGUAGGUGAUUAUCACUAUCCCCUUGCUGCACUCCUCUUGUGAGGGAAAGCUGCUGUUGGGUAUGUGGAUGCUAGGGAUCCGGGAACACGAAGGCAUCACCCUGCUUGCAGGUCUUGUAGAACUUUGUCUGCACUGGAGUCAACUUACAGCAGCCAAAGUGUCCUUCAUAAGCAAGAUUCUUGGCAAGAGAGAAGGGAAAAACACACGUGAGAAAGAAGAGAUUAAGUGAAGACCUUUUAGUCCCGAAUUUGAAGUAUCAAUAUAAACUGAUAUUUUCUGCUUGAAAAAACGACUUUCUAAUUUUUUCAACUCAAAACUCCUAGAAAUACUGAUGCACCCAGUAGCAAUGAGUACCUCCAGCACCCAGAAUUUGCUGUUGAAAUCCAGUUUCCUUCUGAAAAUAGUCAGAGCUCCUUGGAGAACGAGCUAAUUCCAGGUCUGGGAUAGGAAAUAUACAAAAUCUUCUUGGAAACUCUCAUCACAUCAGAUCCCAAGGAAGCUAUACAAGAUCACAAGCUUUGUGUUAAAGACUUAGCAAUCAACUUGCAGAGACUGUCAAAGGUGAGGCAACUUGAAGAUCAAUGAGGAAAAAAACCUUCAAAAGAUUGAAACACAUCAAAUAAAUUUCAAUCUGUGAGUUCACAAUGAUAUUUAAAAAAAUAAUUGUUCAGUCAUUAGAUAACAUUAGAGAACCAAUGAUUACUUUGAAAACUCACAAACAAAGAACCACUGGGUCAUCAGAUAGUAGAUAAGAGUAAGAUUUUCUUUAUUGUGGUAUUUCAGCCAACAAAUAAAAAAGGAAUGAUAGAAUAGGAACAUCAUCCUUUUGUAACCCAAAAUGAAUCACCAUUAGGCAUUGAGCAUUGAUUAUGCUAAUAUCAAAAAGAGAAAGAUAACCAGAUAUUAGAUUCUUCUGAUGGAGGAACAAAGCACCUCCUAAUGAGGAGACUUUUCAGAAAAUCAAAUCUGAAUCCGGUCAGUUCUCCAGAUCCCAUUACUAAUUUACAGAAAAUCUAGAGGAAAGAGGAACGUGUUAAACUACUAUGGGGAUAUAACCAGCAAAAUCCUAACAAUCUUGACAAACCAUCAGGUUUCUUCAGCAAAUAAAUUGUAAAGAGGAAAAGAAAAGAUGAGGGGAAAUCAGUAGGCAAAAAGAAAUGUAAAAGGAACAUAUUAACCAAUCAUUACAUGUAGGCCUUGUUUGGAUCCUGAUUCAAACUAGAAAAACUUAUGACAUUAAAGAUAUAAUUGGAAAUUUGAACACUGACUGAAUAUUUGAUAACAUUCAGAAUUAAUCAUUUUUAAGAUACAAUUAUGAUAUUGUGGUUACGUAACAAGAAGAGAGUCCUUUUCUUUUAGAGUUACAUAAUGAAAUGUUUAUUCAGAAAAUAAAAUGUCUGGAAUUUGCUACAAAACAAUUUGAGAAGGUGGAUGUGGGUAAGGGUAUAUAUGAAAUCAUUUUGUUGGAGCUGGAUAAUGGCACAUGGGGAGUUUACGAUAUUAUUCUAUUUUUUUUAAUUUUCAAAAAUAAAAUAUUUAAAAUAAAAACAUGCAUUCAGUAGCUUUGCUGCAUGGUAUUGUCCUGCCCUGAUGACACUUGAAACAUCUGCAAAUUUCUCUAUUAGGAGAUAUUUCUUGCCCACUGUGUCUGAGAGAAGCAGCCCGUGUCACCUAUGAGACCAGCUAGGGUUAAUGCCUAUGAGACCAGCAAGGGUUAACGAGAGCGAGCAGCUGAUACAUCUGGGGAGCAUGAGCUAUAUUAAGGACAAGCCAGCAUGAAAAGGUAACCGGAAGAAGCAGCUGAGCAUUCUCUGGUCAAGCCUUGAGGUCAUCUGGAUUAAGGGACUGUGGGUUACAGUCUAGCAAGGGACAUGUAUCAUUUCAGCGCUUUGUUUCAAAACCUAGCACAAGAGUUCCUUUGGUUUGGAAUGGGAUCAAAACUGAGUAGAAGCCUUCUUUCUUCUCAAUAAGCAAGUUUAAAUGUUUUGUAUCACAACACCUUUCAGGAAAGAAUACACGAGAUUCACAUUUACAGCAACA